AGACACAGUCCUGCUUAUUUUGCUCUGUAGCUUGGCCACAGUGGCUAUAGCAAUCCGCUGCUGAUGCGAGGUCGGGGAUUUGAUUCCCAGCCACAGUAGCUGCAUUUAAUGAUAAGUGCACUAGCAGAUCCAGAGGCUAUCCACCAGUUGUUAUCUAGCUCAGCUGUUGAUCAUUCAUCAUCCAGGAGGUUGUUUCCGGAAAGCCACUCUGUCUCCCUGUAAGCAGUAAAGUUGUCUGUUUUUGCCUAGCAGAUGCACCUACAAAGGCUUGUCAGCUAAUUCGUUCGCUGCUGUGGGGGGCAUGAUGGCUCCCCUUCUACACAGGGAGUUGCAUGUGGCCGUGUCUCGUGACCAAAGUGGGGAAUCUUCCCUUGCGUGUUGCAAGGAAGCGUUCGAGGGAAGCAUGUUAUGCUUUUCUUGCAGCAGGGGUGCGGAACUCUCCCUCAUGCAAAUCCCCCUUUGGAUGCAGGAGUUGUGCAUCUUGGAAAUAAGACUUUGUGAAGGUGGUGGAGUAGCUGAAUGUUGAGCACAAGGCUGUGUUGCUCGAUGGGUCAUGUGAUAUUGUUAGGUGUUGACUUGCAAAUAUUUCUAGACCAGUGGUCUCGAAAAUGUUAUCCCACGGCGCUCAUCGAAUCGCGGCCACGGCGACCGCAUUUCGAUGGGGGUGAAAUAUGCAAACACCCAUGUACUUAGAUUUAGGUGCACGUUAAAGAACCCCAGGUGGUCCAAAUUUCCGAAGUCCCCCACUAUGGCCUGCCUCAUAAUCAGAUCGUGGUUUUGGCACGUAAAACCCCAUAAUUUAAUCCCAUGGCGCUCAUGGACAGCGUGUGUGACCCUUUUGAGUGCUCGACCUCAAUAUACCCCAAGCUUAUAAUGUGAUAGUGUUGAGGGCCCCGUGUUGAAGAAAAUUCGGUGUGGGUGUUGGCAUCCCGUGAGUGAAAAAUGCCGACUAUAUUGUACGCGGCAUUGAAGUUCUUCUAUCACUAAGGUUGCUCAUACCUUGUCGUCUUACAUUCUUUACAAAGUUGUUUCUCGGAAUUUUUAGAAUGACAGCCCAUAAACAAGUGUCAUGAAACAAAACACUGACAGCGCAUGCCUUUUAUGUUAAAUCGUCUCAGUCUGAAAUAUGACAAGUGCGAAACAAUAACAGAAGAUCAGCUCACGCAAGAGGCCGCGUUUCUACCAGAAAGCUUGCCUUCAUACAUAGCGUUCGUCACCACCAUUUCCCGGUAAACAUUACGGUUACAUAAGCUGCAGUCGCCCGGAAGUGUGAGAAGCAGUCGGGAAUCUUUGAAUGCUGUCGCGUUACACUCUUAAAGGCGAAGCUGAAGCGCCCUCCAAAUCUUUUUGAAACUGCUGAACAUGAGGUGGCAGGUUGGAUUCUCUGUAGCUGUGGCAGUACUCUGACAAAAGUGGAAUGUAAAAAUACUCAUGUACAGUGCGCUAACUGCAUCUAAAAAAUUUUAGAUGGUCAAAAUUAUUCCACGACCUCCCACUGCGAUGUCUCUUACAGUCUGCGAGUUGCUUCAGGACAAAUACCACAAUUUAAUUCUUAAAGGGACCCUGAAUCAAUUUUGACGGUCGUGUACAAAUAUGGUGAGUCGGUACGGUAGGUCCUUCCGAUCAUUACGAGACAGAUGUAAGUGCUCUGUGUAAUGCGUGUCAUUUAUUAUUAGGUUUUUAAAAUGUGAAUUGCUACGAAUCACAGCGGCACCGGUCCUCUUCAUUUUCCACCGCCCCUUCCCCCGCUACAUAGCGUGGGUGAGUGAUGUCACUCGGGUGAGUGAUCGAUUGGCUGCCCACGUUACAUCAUUGGGAACACUUGAAACAUGCCGCUGAAUUAACUUUAUUUUUAACAACAUACGUAUGCACAGUAAUUUGUGUAUCCUUAUAAUAAGGACACCAAAUGCAAUAAAUCUAGAUGUUUCUUCAAACCAAUGGCCCACUUUCGCCUGAAAAUGCGGAUCGUCUGCCACAGCUCUGGCCAUGGCAGCCGAUGGGAUGCGGAGGGGUUCUCACAUAAAAAUAGGAGCACUGAUCUUCUUUGGUGGCAGGAACAUCAAUGCUACCAGCGCUGUAUUACGCUAGUCUUGCACUGCAGAUGAAAACGCUGCAUGUCAAUGUCAACACCAACCUCCUUGGUCAACACAGCGAUCACCUGCAGUUCUGAAAAGAAAAGUGCUUUUAGCAAUGGUUGUAUAUAAUUGUAAGAGCCAAGCUUGUAUAUAAUUUGCCCAGAAAGUCUUUGUGUUUCACUUCAUGUAGUCCUGGCUUAGCAAGAAAAACUGCGUAGGAAAGACAUGUGGGAACACACUUGGUUCAAAUCAACCGGAAGUAGACAAUAUCUGCAUCACCGCUUGAAGGAGGCGGGACAUUGUGAUGGCCGCAUGUUGUAAAAGUUUAGGGGGCUCACCACGGCUUGAGGGGAGGCUAAUGCUUAACCACUUGUACAUGUGUUAUUAUAGUGCACUGACACGAAAUUCUUGUGAGAAAGCAUUCCUUGAGAGAUACCCUCUGUCAGGGACCCUUUGAGCCUUUUGAAGGUAACGCACUCCCCAUGCGGCAGUGCAGUAUAUAGAACCCUAACCUUAACAGUCAUUUUCAUGUUACUUAGUAAUGUGAAGCAUGAGACCUUACUGGAGUCUCGAGCAUCCUGCUACUACAUUUGAGUUACACUAACGAAAAUAGUGCUGAACAGUCGUGUGCGAAUUGUUUUGUAAUGUUUGAUUACACCGGCUUGGUCAAUCACGUCACAUUUACAGUGAUAUCCCUAAAAGUGUAAUCAAUCAAGGAUACAACCCCGUGAGGUGCUGUGUGCCAUGUACAGUUGGAGGCGAAAGUUUCGAUAACGAUGGCUCCACAGAAACAUUUUUUUCUACGCAGCCUGUACGUGCCAGCUCAAAUCAAGUGGCACAACCUACAAGUGCAUGUUCGACAAUUGCUGUGUAUUGAAGCAAUUCCACUUUGCAAGAGCUAUGCUAUAAGAAAUUUGAAUCUUUCGCUGGCGCUGUGGUCUGCGAACUUUUGCUUGUUAUUGUGCACACUGCAUGACCUUAAAGCUACUCCAUAGUCUGCGAUUGGCUCUCGCCCUCAAUAAUGAAUAGAAGGUUGUACAGGUUUUGCUGUGUGAUUUCUCGCCUAAUGUGCAGUGGGCGUCAAAAGUCUGCAGUAUGCAGGUUCCACAGAAAUGGCAAAUUUAAGCCCAGUUUUUGCUUGCAGCUAGUAAAACUGCACAACACUAUAUUGGUCAUGUACACUAGCACGUAUAGGUAGCAUAUCUGAACUCCUGAUUGCUUGCCUGAGCUUGGCAGAUAUUCAGCUUUUUCUCAAGGUUACUGCCUCAUUAAAC